GACAGGUUUGUGUGUCUGUGUGCGCUGGAAGGGAAGAAAGACUGCUGUCCUCCUGCACCUGACUGUUGGCUUUAAGGGUGCAGGGCACUGAAUGGCCCAGCACAGAGACUUCAUCCUCCAGCAGGGUGCCAGUGCCUCGGAGAUGAUGAUGUAGUCCCUAUGUGGGCCGCAGAAAGCACUUCGAGCCGUGCUGGAGUCGUGCUGGGUGGCUCUGAUAGCAGAGCUAAUGGGAGCGAAUGGGAUGCAACGAACUGUUCUAAUGACACCAGCCAGGGAAGAGACAACAGAGAUGAUGCAAGAAGAGUCAGACGUUCCUGCUGACAUCACCCCACGUGCCCGGGUUUUUCACAGCUCAACAUGGGAAGCAGCCCAGAGGGCUUCGUGGCAGCAGGACCUGCCAGACCAUGCCUGGUGCUGGGAGGAAGGAGCGCUAAAAGGGAUUGUCCCCCUCUGGUCCCCACUUUGCUUCUGCGUUUCAGCCUGUCAGCUUGAAGUGGGCAUGGGGAGACUGUCGUUGUAAAUCCCAAUCACACUUAGAGGAAGACGAUGCUUAUCCUCAGAACACUUUUUUUCCAAAUGUUGAACCUGUCUCUCUCUACUGUAGCUCUUUGCAGUAAUUAAAUUAUGUAAUGCAAAGCUUAAAGCCACUGAAAACAUAAUUACAAAAUGUAGAAUUAGUUCAUUAUAAAGGAUCAGCUGGCCUACCUGUCUCGUUUCUGUGUUUCUUGUCUUGUUCUUUUGUCCUGUUCCUGAUUACUGGAGUAAGACCCACCCUUCACCAAAUGUGGCUGCUACGGCUUCUAUCCCCCUCUCACCUGCCCUAAGAGGAAGGAGAAACUCUGGUGCCUUCCCAGUGGAAGUGCCAGUCCUCUGGCAUUGACAGGGCAAGGGAAAAUGGGAACAUCUUCCCUGCUGGCAUUGCCC
rnacentral:lncRNA from 1 species